rnacentral:rRNA from 1 species
AUCAAGCGCGAAAAGGGCGUUUGGUGAAUGCCUUGGCAGUAAGAGGCGAUGAAAGACGUGAUACUCUGCGAUAAGCCAUGGGGAGCUGAGAAUAAGCUUUGAUCCAUGGAUUUCUGAAUGGGGCAACCCACCUGAUUGUUUAUUGUUGUCCUACCGCUUUGCUACUUGAGGACGUAAGUUCGCAAGGUGCAGACGGUGGGUUCAUCAGUAAGCAGAACCAGGUAUUUAUAGACUGAAUACAUAGGUUUAUAAAAGCAAACCCGGGGAACUGAAACAUCUAAGUACCCGGAGGAAAGGAAAUCAAUUGAUACUCCCCUAGUAGCGGCGAGCGAACGGGGACCAGCCGAGCCAUGAGUGUGGUUAGAAUGCGUUGGAAUGCGCAACCAAAGUGGGUGAUAGUCCCGUAUAAGAAGCAUGAUUGGACGUAUUAAGUAGGGCGGAACACGUGAAAUUCUGUCUGAAGAUCGGAGGACCACCUUCGAAGGCUAAGUACUCCUUACUGACCGAUAGUGAACCAGUACCGUGAGGGAAAGGUGAAAAGCACCCCGACGAGGGGAGUGAAACAGUACCUGAAACCGAACGCCUACAAUCAGUUGGAGGGUCUUUACGGCCUGACAGCGUACCUUUUGUAUAAUGGGUCAUCGACUUGGUCUCACAAGCAAGCUUAAGCCGUUAGGUGUAGGCGUAGCGAAAGCGAGUCUUAAUAGGGCGUUGAGUUUGUGGGAUCAGACCCGAAACCGAGUGAUCUAGGCAUGGCCAGGUUGAAGAUAAGGUAACACUUAUUGGAGGACCGAACCCACAUCCGUUGAAAAGGAUCGGGAUGAGCUGUGCCUAGGGGUGAAAGGCCAAUCAAACUCGGAGAUAGCUGGUUCUCUGCGAAAUCUAUUUAGGUAGAGCGUCAUCCGAAUACCCUCGGGGGUAGAGCACUGGAUGGGUAAUGGGGCCCCACAGGCUUACUGAUCCUAACCAAACUCCGAAUACCGAGGAGUACUAGAUGGCAGACACACAGCGGAUGCUAACGUCCGUUGUGAAGAGGGAAACAACCCUGACCUACAGCUAAGGCCCCUAAUUCAUGGCUAAGUGGGAAAGCAGGUGAGACGACCAAAACAACCAGGAGGUUGGCUUAGAAGCAGCCAUCCUUUAAAGAUAGCGUAACAGCUCACUGGUCUAAAUAAGUUGUCUUGCGGCGAAGAUGUAACGGGGCUCAAGCCAUGAGCCGAAGCUUAGGAUGCAUUAAUUGCAUGGUAGCAGAGCGUAGUGUGACAUAGUUCCAUGUCUCCUUAGCCCUUCGGGGUAUUGGAGACGCGGAGCUUUCUGUGAAGCGGGCGCGUGAGCGAUCCCGUGGAGAGAUCACUAGUGAGAAUGAUGACAUGAGUAGCGACAAAGAGUGUGAGAGACACUCUCGCCGAAAAUCCAAGGGUUCCUGCUUAAAGCUAAUCUGAGCAGGGUAAGCCGACCCCUAAGGCGAGGCCGAAAGGCGUAGUCGAUGGGAACCAGGUUAAUAUUCCUGGGCCAGAUGGAAGUGACGGAUCUCGAGGGUAGUUCAUCCUUAUCGGAUUGAAUGGGCUGCUUAGAGGUCCCUGGAAAUAGCUCCAUCGCUAGAUCGUACCCUAAACCGACACAGGUGGAUAGGUAGAGAAUACCAAGGCGCUUGAGAGAACUAUGUUGAAGGAACUCGGCAAAAUACCUCCGUAAGUUCGCGAGAAGGAGGCCCGGUUCCUAGGCAACUAGGGGCUGGGGGCACAAACCAGGGGGUGGCGACUGUUUAUUAAAAACACAGGGCUCUGCGAAGUCGUAAGACGACGUAUAGGGUCUGACGCCUGCCCGGUGCCUGAAGGUUAAAAGGAGGAGUGAGAGCUCUGAAUUGAAGCCCAGGUAAACGGCGGCCGUAACUAUAACGGUCCUAAGGUAGCGAAAUUCCUUGUCGGGUAAGUUCCGACCUGCACGAAUGGCGUAACGACUUCCCCGCUGUCUCCAACAUAGACUCAGCGAAAUUGAAUUACCGGUCAAGAUGCCGGUUACCCGCGGUUAGACGGAAAGACCCCGUGCACCUUUACUACAACUUCACACUGGCAUUAGGCCGAACAUGUGCAGGAUAGGUGGUGGGCUUUGAAACGUGGACGCCAGUCUGCGUGGAGCCUCCCUUGAGAUACCACCCUUGUUCUGCUUGAUGUCUAACCGCGGUCCGUUAUCCGGAUCCGGGACCCUGUGUGGUGGGUAGUUUGACUGGGGCGGUCGCCUCCUAAAUCGUAACGGAGGCGCGCGAAGGUUGGCUCAGAGCGGUCGGAAAUCGCUCGUUGAGUGCAAUGGCAGAAGCCAGCCUGACUGCGAGACUGACAAGUCGAGCAGAGUCGAAAGACGGCCCAUAGUGAUCCCGGUGGUCCCAAGUGGGAGGGCCAUCGCUCAACGGAUAAAAGGUACGCCGGGGAUAACAGGCUGAUACUGCCCAAGAGUCCAUAUCGACGGCAGUGUUUGGCACCUCGAUGUCGGCUCAUCUCAUCCUGGGGCUGGAGCAGGUCCCAAGGGUACGGCUGUUCGCCGUUUAAAGAGGUACGUGAGCUGGGUUUAGAACGUCGUGAGACAGUUCGGUCCCUAUCUUCCGUGGGUGUAGGAUACUUGAGAGGAGUUGCCCCUAGUACGAGAGGACCGGGGUGAACGAUCCACUGGUGGACCAGUUGUUAUGCCAAUAGCAGUGCUGGGUAGCUAUGAUCGGACAGGAUAACCGCUGAAGGCAUCUAAGCGGGAAGCCCCCCUCAAAACAAGGUAUCCCUGAGAGCCGAGAUAGACCAUCUCGUCGAUAGGCCAGAGAUGUAAGCGUAGUAAUACGUUCAGUUGACUGGUACUAAUUGCUCGAUAGGCUUGAU